GAACUUGGCGGCGUGCUAUACAUGCAAGUCGAACGAACUCUGGUAUUGAUUGGUGCUUGCAUCAUGAUUUACAUUUGAGUGAGUGGCGAACUGGUGAGUAACACGUGGGAAACCUGCCCAGAAGCGGGGGAUAACACCUGGAAACAGAUGCUAAUACCGCAUAACAACUUGGACCGCAUGGUCCGAGCUUGAAAGAUGGCUUCGGCUAUCACUUUUGGAUGGUCCCGCGGCGUAUUAGCUAGAUGGUGGGGUAACGGCUCACCAUGGCAAUGAUACGUAGCCGACCUGAGAGGGUAAUCGGCCACAUUGGGACUGAGACACGGCCCAAACUCCUACGGGAGGCAGCAGUAGGGAAUCUUCCACAAUGGACGAAAGUCUGAUGGAGCAACGCCGCGUGAGUGAAGAAGGGUUUCGGCUCGUAAAACUCUGUUGUUAAAGAAGAACAUAUCUGAGAGUAACUGUUCAGGUAUUGACGGUAUUUAACCAGAAAGCCACGGCUAACUACGUGCCAGCAGCCGCGGUAAUACGUAGGUGGCAAGCGUUGUCCGGAUUUAUUGGGCGUAAAGCGAGCGCAGGCGGUUUUUUAAGUCUGAUGUGAAAGCCUUCGGCUCAACCGAAGAAGUGCAUCGGAAACUGGGAAACUUGAGUGCAGAAGAGGACAGUGGAACUCCAUGUGUAGCGGUGAAAUGCGUAGAUAUAUGGAAGAACACCAGUGGCGAAGGCGGCUGUCUGGUCUGUAACUGACGCUGAGGCUCGAAAGUAUGGGUAGCAAACAGGAUUAGAUACCCUGGUAGUCCAUACCGUAAACGAUGAAUGCUAAGUGUUGGAGGGUUUCCGCCCUUCAGUGCUGCAGCUAACGCAUUAAGCAUUCCGCCUGGGGAGUACGGCCGCAAGGCUGAAACUCAAAGGAAUUGACGGGGGCCCGCACAAGCGGUGGAGCAUGUGGUUUAAUUCGAAGCUACGCGAAGAACCUUACCAGGUCUUGACAUACUAUGCAAAUCUAAGAGAUUAGACGUUCCCUUCGGGGACAUGGAUACAGGUGGUGCAUGGUUGUCGUCAGCUCGUGUCGUGAGAUGUUGGGUUAAGUCCCGCAACGAGCGCAACCCUUAUUAUCAGUUGCCAGCAUUAAGUUGGGCACUCUGGUGAGACUGCCGGUGACAAACCGGAGGAAGGUGGGGAUGACGUCAAAUCAUCAUGCCCCUUAUGACCUGGGCUACACACGUGCUACAAUGGAUGGUACAACGAGUUGCGAACUCGCGAGAGUAAGCUAAUCUCUUAAAGCCAUUCUCAGUUCGGAUUGUAGGCUGCAACUCGCCUACAUGAAGUCGGAAUCGCUAGUAAUCGCGGAUCAGCAUGCCGCGGUGAAUACGUUCCCGGGCCUUGUACACACCGCCCGUCACACCAUGAGAGUUUGUAACACCCAAAGUCGGUGGGGUAACCUUUUAGGAACCAGCCGCCUAAGGUGGACCAGGAGAAUUU
rnacentral:rRNA from 1 species